GACGAACGCUGGCGGCGUGCUUAACACAUGCAAGUCGAACGGAAAGGCCUGCUUUCCCUUGUGGAUUGCGGGUACUCGAGUGGCGAACGGGUGAGUAACACGUGAGUGAUCUGCCCCCAACUUGGGUAUAAGCCUGGGAAACUGGGUCUAAUUCCCGAUAGGACUGCAGGGUGGUGCCUGUGGUGGAAAACGAUUUUCUAGUGGUUGGGGAUGAGCUCGCGGCCUAUCAGCUUGUUGGUGGGGUAAUGGCCUACCAAGGCGGCGACGGGUAGCCGGCCUGGGAGGGUGGACGGCCACAUUGGGACUGAGAUACGGCCCAGACUCCUACGGGAGGCAGCAGUGGGGAAUAUAGCACAAUGGGCGGAAGCCUGAUGCAGCGACGCCGCGUGGGGGAUGACGGCCUUCGGGUUGUAAACUCCUUUCGACCGCGAGGGAGCCACCUGGUUGGAAGGGUGGUGACGGUAGUGGUAGAAGAAGCACCGGCUAACUACGU
rnacentral:rRNA from 1 species